rnacentral:rRNA from 1 species
CAGCACCUCAAGUGGUCAGGAUGAUUAUUGGGCCUAAAGCAUCCGUAGCCGGCUCUGUAAGGUUUCGGUUAAAUCUGUACGCUCAACGUACAGGCUGCCGGGAAUACUGCAGAGCUAGGGAGUGGGAGAGGUAGACGGUACUCGGUAGGAAGGGGUAAAAUCCUUUGAUCUAUUGAUGACCACCUGUGGCGAAGGCGGUCUACCAGAACACGUCCGACGGUGAGGGAUGAAAGCUGGGGGAGCAAUCCGGAUUAGAUACCCGAGUAGUCC